GUUAUAUAUGUUAACACCAGAGUAAAAAACAUAUAUUUUCCAAUAUGGGACUGGUAUGGAGUUUUCUGCAGUUGGUCUAUACAAUUGUGGCCAAUGCUACAGUAAGUGUUAUGCAUUUAUGUUAUUUAUGUUCUUUAGUUAUUUUGCAAUGAUAAUAUUGUUUUGUUAUGGAUGUAGUCUUCUUACGAUUAAGUCUCGUUUUAGUCUCGUUAAAGAAAUAUUUCCAAAACAUAUGAUAGAAGUAUAAAAUAUAAAUAAAAUAAAAUUAAUAAAUUUUAUAGUUAGACUUAAGUCUGUAUCAACAAUGAGUAGUUUUUGAGUAAUUAGUUUUUUAAAUGUUAAACCAAUCAAGUCAGUAUUUUUUCAACCGAUAUUUUGAGAAAAUGUAUGUGGGGUGCAUGUAAUGAUUUUACAAGAAACAUGUACAUUCCAUUCACUGGUUUCUUUUGAAUUUUCUUAUAUAAGUAACAUGCAGACAUCUUAUAUGUUCAGGUAUUGCAAAUCCAAUCUGUUAUGGUAAUAUUCUUUACAAAGCAAAAUGUCAAAUUUCACCUCAAAAGUUAACAAAACCUUUAAACAGACUUAUCAAUAAAGGAAAGAGUUACGAUACUGUUGUCAGGCCAUUAAAGAUUGAAUGUUUUGGCUUUAAUAUUGAUACACUUAUAGUAUCUUUGCAUCGGAUUUAAACUAAUUUAUUCUAAAACAAGUUGUUGGCACGACACGGGUUAUGUUCUUCUAAUUUAUUUCAUUAUUAUAUAAUACUAAACCUCUAACAGAAGGGAUUCUGCCUGAUAUUCAUCUGAUGAUGUCAUAAUCUUUCAAUCAGUUUUAUUCAGGUCUGUAGCUGCAUGUCAGUAACGCGCGUCUGGCGUUAAAUUUAAUCCUGGUACUUUGAUAACUAUAACAACUAGUAGUCUGUUCUUAUUUAUGUAUUAUUGUCAUUUUUGUUAAUUUCUUUGUUUUUUUUUAUUUUGACAUCGAACUCAGACUUCUCUUAAACGGAGUCUUACCGUGCGUAUUGUUUUUUCUACAUUUGCUAGAAGUAUAGGGGAGAAUUGAGAUCUAAAAAAACAUGUUUAACCCGCCGCAAAUUGAGCCUGUUCCAAGUCAGGAGCCUCUGGCCUUUGUUAGUCUUGUAUGAUUUUCAAUUUUAGUUUGUGGUGCAUAAUUUGGAGUUAAAUAUGACGUCCAUUAUAACUGAACUAGUAUACAUAUUUGUUUAGGGGCAAGCUGACAGACGCCUCCGGGAGCAGGAAUUUCUCGCUACAUAGAGGACCCAUGGCUGGCCUCCGGCUGUUGUGUCCUCUUGGUCGGGUUGUUGUGUCUUUGACACAUUCCCCAUUUCCUUUCUCAAUUUUAUUUCAAUUAUUGAUUAAAAAAGCAUCAACAUACGAUAAAAUUACUUAAUUAUGUUAACACCAUCCUAAAAUUAUUUUAAAUGAAAUUUGAUCAGAUUGGUUCACUUCAUAUUUUUAUUAAAAGUAUGUAAAAAAGUUAAAUUUUGGAACUUUAAUUUUUUUUAACGAUAAUACCCAAAAUAUGUAAAAAUUGAUGAAAAAUGUCAAAACUUUAAAAGGAAGGUACCAAACAAUAAAGUGCACCACAAUAUUAUUUUUUUCUUUACCAAUUAUUUGUUUACAGUUUUAAAAAUGCAAAAAUCAGGUUCAGAACAAAAGUUAAACUCUAGAAAUAGUUUGCUCCUCAGAGGUUUACAUUCUUAAGCAAUUCAUUGUAACAAUGCCAGACUCUUACUGAAGUACUGAACUUAUACAUUUCAAUGAAACGAAACUAUUGUUUUAUAGGGUGAUUUUUGUUAUUGUAUGUAGGUAACCCUGCUUCUAUUUACAUACUUUGAAUGAAGAUAUAUCAUGUAUAUUGUGUGCAUAAUUGGUUAUAAUUCCAAAUUCAUUUGAAAUUCUCUUCAGGAUCGCCUAGUUUUAAGGGCAUUCAACUUUUUUUUUCUUUGAAAGUUCAUUCUCUUUUUAAAACCCUUUUAGGUGUUAUCAUGCAUUGGGGUAUUGACUGCGAUUACGUACAAACGUUACUUUAACAAAAAAGAACAAGAAGAAACGUUUUCUGAAUUGAUAACAACAGAGAAAAAAAAAUCAGACGAAUAUAUAGAAAAGGCGAAAAAGGAGUUAAACGAUUUGAAAACAAACCUCGGAGAUGAAAUAAAAACUUAAAGAUGAUUUGCAAAGACAAGAAGAGGGCAAGACGGCUGAAUUGGAAAUAAUCAAGGAAAAAUUGACAGAAAAUGUGAGUAAGAAGUUAAUGGCUUUAUAUGAAAAGGAG
rnacentral:lncRNA from 1 species